GUGCUGGCUACGGCUGCACAUAUACUAAAAUUGGAUCGAUACAGAGAAGAUUAGAAUGGCCCCUGCAAAAGGAUGACACUCAAAUCCGUGAAGCGCUCAAUAUUAUU
ensembl:snRNA U6 U6 spliceosomal RNA